UAGUUACGUAGGUAAUAGUAGUUGUGGUAGUAGGUGCUCGGUAUUCCCCGUGCGUGAUAAAAACUGGCAACUCGCCUCGCUGAUCAUCUGCAUCUGCGAUCGUGUAGAGGGGCCGUAAUAAUAUGUUUGUUUUAUCAUCGAUAACGUUGAUAAGCAGUAGAUAGGUACCUAAGUAAAAAAAAACUUCAGAGCAGUUGAUCUGAUAACUUCACCGUCUGCAGCCAACAAUGAAGUUUAAAUAACCACUAUUGGCUUUCAAAGUAGGAUCAUACAGUCCGCGUUUAAUCGAUGUGCCUCCUAUUUCUUCACAUGCACCUAAUGACAGCUGCACAUAAAAAUGUAUGAUUUUUGCAAUCCAGUAUUACUUGAACAUCUGUUAAACCAGACGGGUUCAAUAGAAGAUUUUUAUAGAUCGAUACAGCAAGGUGACAUAGGGGAAGCUGUUGUGAUUGCAAUAAAAUCACUUAAGAUAAAUAACAUUCCUAUCAUUAAAAAAGAGCCGAAAUCAGCGAACUUUUCGCAUAGGGCAUGUCAUGUUGGAGACCAGGCCCUCAAUAAUAAAAACUACAGGAAUGCUUUCGAAAUGUAUAACUGUGCAAUCAGAUGUGCGCCUGAGGGUUCUGAGGCAAUGUUGGACGCGUACUUUGGUAGAUCCAGACUGUUAUUCGCUAU